CAGAAAAACAGUGUGAAAUCAAAUUUUGACGAGUAUCGAAUAUUUUACGGCCUUUUAAAACAUGUAUAACCGAACUUCGCUCCAAAUUGAUUUUCGAUAGAUAAGAUUUAUUGUUGGUUACAGAAAUAAAUUGAAUAACAUAAAGUAUCUCACGUUACUAAAUGUCAACCCAUAAUGUGGCCGCACUUGUCCCUUUUAUUAGCUUUUUAAAUAUUUAAC